UACGUAGGGUCCGAGCGUUGUCCGGAAUUACUGGGCGUAAAGAGCUCGUAGGUGGUUUGUCGCGUUGUUCGUGAAAACUCACAGCUCAACUGUGGGCGUGCGGUCGAUACGGGCAGGCUCGAGUUCGGUAGGGGAGACUGGAAUUCCUGGUGUAGCGGUGAAAUGCGCAGAUAUCAGGAGGAACACCGGUGGCGAAGGCGGCAUCCUGGACCAAUAUUGACGCUGAGGAGCGAAAGCCAGGGGAGCAAACGGG
rnacentral:rRNA from 1 species